CUGUCCAUGGGAGAAAGCUCCAGGAAAAAAAAUAGGACUUUAUUCUGCUUUUAUAUAGUUUUUCAUUAUUAUCACCUCCCCAACCCCAGAACGAAGUCCUGUCUUUUACCAUUCUUUUCCAGGAAGUGACCCUGAUUUCUCUUUCCACUGAUGCAUGUUCGGUGUCAGAAAAUAUGCCACAAGAAAAGCUUAUGAUCUGUGUGGGGAGGAAACAGAACAAUUACCUCCAGUUAGUGCACCCAAGGGAUCUCACUUCCACUGAAGCCAAAUGUUUCAUCCAUUCCAAAAGGGCAACACAACACACAGGGAACAGUGAGUACAAGAAAAUAAAGCAGAAAAGCAGGAGGCUGGAGCUCACAGACCACAAACAGAUGGUAGCAAAAAAGCAAACAAACGGACAAAAGGAAAACACAAUUGCAAACCCCAGAAAAUGAUAAGUCUGUCUAGUUAACCCCCUUUCUAUUGACCUACAGAUUUCUUGAGACAGACAGAUCUGAGACCACCUUUGUCACUGACACGCCACUAAUGGAACGGACAUUAAAAUGACCUUCAAGUGACAACUCGCCACAGGAUAACCGUGACAAAUGCAGCCAGAUAGUCAUCUCCACCUUGUCUGCAGACACGAGAUGACAUUCCAUAAUACACUUGUGUCAAAAGAAGGGAAAUGCUGGAUGGUCUUUUUAAUGGGUUUGUCUGUAGCAAAGAGACCCACCGGGGAUCUAAUUUACAGAGGGAGGACUUGACAGAAUGAGCUUAUGAGGCAGCUGCGCGUGCGUGUGCCUGUGUGCCUAUUGCAUGGGAAGGCUGCCUCAGGAACGUGCAUCCAAUUCUGCUUUUACAGGAAAAGUCACCCUAUUCUUGUAAAAUUACAGCAACUUCUCUAAAAAUUGGUCAUCUUGAACACUGCAAUGCAUGAGACCAGACCAAUGAAGGGAGAUUUGAGGAGGAUGACAGUUGUGUGAGGUGAGAAAAAGCAGAGGCCACAAGGCAGAAAUAUAGUAGGGCAACACAACUUUGAAAGGCCAGAGAAAUGUUUCCAUCACGUAAGAAACUAUCAAAACUCUAGCUGAAAUCUGCUAGGAUCUGCUACAAAGAACCCACCAGCACCAGAGCAAUCAACCCCAGGUCUUUGGAGUUAUUAGAAAGGCUCUUAGUUUUGUUUUCUUCCUGGACCUCCUCCUGGCUGGACCACUGCUGCUGGCUGAGCGGUCAGGCAGGUGGCUGGGUGAUGGAAGUUCAUCUCCUGUGACAUUUUCCCCAUUUACUUGCACUUGAGAUCAGGAUCCCUUUGAGACCACAACACUAGAAAAGGCAGGAGAUACCAAACUGUCCCAGAGCAUUACAAACAAACAUUUCAAACACAUUUAUUCCAACCAUAGACAUGUCACUGUUUUAUACCAACUAGGAGAGCACAGCCAUUCUCUAUCCUUUGAACUUCAGUGUUUCUCGGCUGUGGUAUUGCUUUCCCAAGUGGGCAUUUAACACAAACAGGAAUAACAGGAAAGAGGAGGUGCUGGGACAGCUAUGGAAAAGGGCUCAUAAAUAAAUAAAUCCCACUGGUAUCCAACUGCUCAGCACCAGCACUGCCAGUGGUCAACACUUCCAAAGAGAAUAAUAAUGAAUAAAUAAAUAAGGCCUUGCUAGAGCUGAAGUUUCCUACUUUUCACCACUCUACAGACUGUUCCAAGCCUUGUAUCAUCCAGAGAUUAUAUGGUCCCAAAUAUAAAUCCAAGCAGCAUUUCUUCUUUCAAAGCCCUUGGGCUCCAUUUGUUAACCUAGAACCUAAUUCACUGUGUGGCAGACUCCUGCUCCUGCCAGGUAACUUCCCAGAAAGAACAACAGAUGGACUGAGCCAUUGGAUUAUAUGCACACAAGUGAAAACACAUUUAACAACCGCAACCAGAUGCAAACUUAGUAAGCAAAUUAAUUUUAAAAAACCCAAACUGAAGAGAAAUCAUUCAUUACAUCCAAGGAAAGAUUAUUUCUCUACUCAAGCAUGUGUGUUGUGCCUCUCACAGGGAGUGGCCCAUUUUGGAGAGUGGGGGAAACAUCAGAGUAUUUAAACACAGGCAACUUAUCACAGUGCAAAAGUCUAUGUGAGACUUGCUCAGGAUGUCACCGCAGGACCGAAGGGCACGAGAAGAACAACAGUUGGCUGAAGUGACAGGAAUGACCAAGAUGGAAGAACACAACUCAUUUCAGAUACAGAAAUGUUUAAUGGCGUUAAAGUGCUACUUUAAUGGGGACCAUAUGCUAACAUUUAAACACAAUUCCACUGCACUGCUAAAUAUGGUUGUCUUUAUUUUUUUACUUUAUUUUACCUCUUUUUACCCAACCCUAUCUAAAACAAUAAAAUAAAAUCUAAAGGACUGAAAUUAACAACCCAUUCAAAUCAGCAAUAAGUUAUGAAUUUUAUAAAGCAUUUUUUUCCUCUUUUUUUUCUUAGUAAUGAGGGGUAAUUAAAUUACUUAAGGAUAUACAAAGUUCCAAACAAUGCCAUAGGUGAAGACUCUAUUAAGGUUUUUAAAACUUGGAAAACAAAAUAAUCCUGGCCAUUAAAAAGACAAAAAUAAAAAAGCAAAGCCCUCAAAGUGCAGGUUAGAAUGCUUGUCUUGGAGAAAAUUAGAAAACAUUCGCUAUAACAGCUCUUAACAGCACCUGCACAGAUAAGAUGGCAAGGCCCUUGGGAACAGGACGUGCAGUCAAAACGUUACAUUAACAUGAGAGACGUGCUGAGCUUAACUAGGUUAACUACUGGACUGGAACUUCAAAAGUCAGCAAAGGGAAUGAUUCUAAAAAGAAAACUGAAGAAACCCCCACCAAAUCUGGCCUCUUCCAGCUAGCACAGCCUUCAUCCAUUGUGUGCAUGGCAAAAAAAGCAUCUUUGCAUUUCAUUGGGUCAAGUGCUUCAUCAAAACAGAGAUCUUUUCAUGGCAUAAAUUCAUAUAAAAGACAUCUAAGGUUUCAUAUGGACAAGCUCUAAAAA